rnacentral:lncRNA from 1 species
UGGGCUCUUCCACUUGCGGUCUGUCAUCACCUUGGCACCCUUUCGGAGGCCCUCAGCAAUGUUUGUCCCACCAUUUGAGAUCAGAUUAUUAACAGCCUGUAGUGCUUCCUGCCUUCCUGUGUCAGUCAUCCUACGAAGGGGAAAAAGUCUCCGAGCUGUGGAGGAGAAGGCAAUGACUGAAAGCCUGUCAGAAGAGCCUAGGUUCUGAAUCACAAACCCCAUGGCUUGUUUUAGCAAAGCAAGCUUUGUGCCUGCCAUGCUGCCACUUAUAUCAAGCACGGUUACGAGAUCUACUGGAGCACGAGAGUUCUGAGAAAUUAAAGGCAGAUUAGCAUGGUCUUCGCCAGAAUGCUGUUUUCCACUAGUAAGGGGAGCUUUGAGAUGUAUUAGUAUGUUGAAACUAUUAUGGGAUGCUAAUCUUGAAAUGGAAGAAACCUCGGGGUAUGUUUUAACCUCAAUUGCCCCAAUAGAAUGGACAUCAGUACAAAUAUUGUCUGAUGAAUUUUUUUCAGUAACCUCAGGUUGGCAAUCCACAAGUUCGUCAUCAUCGAAGACACCUGGCUCAGGGGAGUGACGAAUAGGAGAAACACGCCGGUCUGCAUCUGCACCAGGAGGGAUCCUUUGUACAACAGUCAUCCAGGCAACAUCUUGAGGCCAAGAACCACGAUUGGUUCUUGACCUUCUAUGACUAAGAUCAGAAGAAGGAUUCUGGAAUGGAACUUCCUUCCAUUUUGCUCGGCAAACGGGGCAAAUCUGAUUUCCAUGUUUUACAUUGGAGGUGAUGCAGUGGAAGUGGAAGGAGUGUGAGCAUUCUGCGGUAAAAAUGGCAUGGCCUUGGCCUGGUUUCAUGGUGGUUAAGCAUAUUGAACAAGUCCUCUGCAACCACAAAGAAAUACAAGUCAAAAGCAGAUCACACAUGAACUGCAUUCAAGCCAACUGUUAUGGCUGAAAGAUUGAUCAACUUUGAAAUGCAUCAGCUGAUACAGUUUGCUCAAGUAUCAAUUCAAAUAUAUUUAUUUUGUCUUGUUUAAUUAUUUGGUGAUAAGCAAAUCAAAUAAACAAUGUGAAUAUAAAGAAAACAUUUAUACGAUCCCACAUAAACUGCAUCAAGACCAACUUUAUGGCUGAUAGAUUAAGCACAAACAACUAAACAAAUUGUCAAUGAUCCAACCUAUGAUUGACAGUUUAUGAACCCCCUAUGCAAUGCACACAACAUAAUAAUCAGCUCAUAUUUUUGCUGACAUUAAUAUAUUUUAAUUUUUUAAUUUUUGGGUUUUGGCAAUAAAUAAAUAAAAUAAGCAGUGCGACUAUGAAAGAGAACAUUGAUACGAUAUUAUGUUUUUCUGCAAAAAUUACCUCUAUUUUGGUAGGCUUAAGUUGAUCAUCACAAAUUUAAACAAACAAGUAGCAAUAUGACAUCUAUUUAUUUGUUUAUUUAAUUAUUACAAUAUGAAAUGAGCAUAGUGUAGACCUCAAAAUAAUUCGCAGUUAACCAUCAUUGAACGCAGAUGUCUUGAUGCUUAAAANNNNNNNNNNNNNNNNNNNNNNNNNNNNNNNNNNNNNNNNNNNNNNNNNNNNNNNNNNNNNNNNNNNNNNNNNNNNNNNNNNNNNNNNNNNNNNNNNNNNAGCACCAACACCAACAACAAAUUCUAGGGGAGGAGAAUGACCGCCAGUUAGAUGUUACAAAUGCGGGAAAGAGGGACAUAUUUGUCCACAACAAUCCAAGGUAUGUUACAACUGUGGAAAGGAAGGCCACAUAGCUCGGGAUUGUUCUGUAGCAAAAUCAAGUUCAACGGGGAUGGUGACUCCAAGGGCUGUCCCGGAUAAGUCGAAAUCAGCGGUUCCUGAAAGAGCGUUUGUCGUGACUGACCAAAACGCGAGGAACCCCCCAUUAAUAUGAUUAUAUGAUAAUCCCCAAGCUAAUGUUUCAAACAAAGGUAUUGAUGGGGCAAUUUUUUUAGGGGGUUGAUGUAACCCAUGUCGCUAAUAUGACCAAGUAGGUGGUGUUUGACUGCAUCUUAACAAUUUACUUCUUAAUACAUCUUAACAAUCCACAAUUUUAUAUUAAGAGGUCCUCUUAAUAGUUAAGAUACAAAUAUGAGUCUAAACUAUUCAGAUAACCAUCUUAAUACAAAAAUAUGAGUUAAAAUACAUUAAGAGGUGAAUUAUUAAGAUGUAUUAAAAUACAAUCAAACACAAUUGAAACAUGAAUUGAGCCUUUUAGGUGUUUUGAUUGCAUCUUAACAGUUUCUUAAUGCCUCUUAAGAGACCAUAUUUUUGUAUUAAGAGAUUUUUUGAAUAGUUAAGAUAUAAAUACAAAUCUAAACUAUUCAGAAGACUUUUUAAUAUAAAAAUGUGGACGGUAAAAAUACAUUGAAAGGUGGGAUCAUUCAAUCACCACCUUACUUUGGAUUUGAUUUGAACCUGGCCCAAGUGAUUACAGAUGGUGAAACUCUUUUUGUGGAUAAAAGGGAAAACGAGCUAAAAAGAAUAUUCUACUCCAUUGGUAAAAGAAUAUUACUGCUUUCUUUAAUGCUUCCACUAUUAGUACAAAUACAAUGAAUCACUUGCCAAUCUCAGUAGUCUCUCAAAUAGGUACGUAGUAUAUAUGGUUUCGCAAUAGAGAGAGAGAAGUUUCACGAAGGGAGAAGCAAAAAAAUUCAACCCGGGACUAAUGGCUACUGGUGGUGGGAGUUUUGUCACAUAUAUUCAUUCUAUUGAAAUGAGUUUUAUUCCGCAUUCUUCACAUGAAAUAAAAAAACAAAAAAAUAGAAUGAAUUUUAAUUCUAUUUUUAUUUCAUUCAUUUCUUUAUUCCACUCUCAAUCCAAACGUACCAUAAAAAGAUUACUGUUGACACACGCACACUUCUAGACCAGUGCCUUGCAGACUCUUAGUUGGAUGAAAUAGCUAAUUGCGUCACUUUUUUUCCAAACACUCGAGGUUAAAUGAAACUUUUCUAACCACAGACAGAUAGUUAUGCCAAGAUCAUUUAAAAUAGAAAACUAUAUGAUACUGCAUUUUACUUCAUGAUCUUAAAAUUGUAGCAUAAACCAUAGAAAGUGGAAUGAGACUGAGGCUGCAACAUGCAUAAUUAGAGACUUAACGUGUUUGAGUGAAGAAUUUCUCCAGUAUCCCCCACAAUUACAAGGCUUUACCCCAAUUUUCACCAAAAGAGAAAACCCCCAUUUCUCUCCUUAUAUACAAAACCACAUGUUAAAAUUGUAAACCUAAACCAAUUUGUCCUUUAUCACAAUCCUCGUAAAUUUUUCUCAUAGCCCCCCUAAUCUUAUUCAUGUACACAAAGGAAAUAUACCCAUUGUCGUGAAACACAAAACCUUCUACCAGGUCUUUGAUACGUCCCCGACUUUCCCAAAACCAAUUAAACAGAACAAAAAAUAUAAAGGGACAAUGAUCAAAACUCAAGAAGAAUUUUCAAAGACAACCAUGUUGGUUACCUCGGUUGCGGUUGUGAUGAAAAUGAUCGAGCAGGCCUGGCUGAUGAUUGAGGUGAUGGAUUACCAAAGAACAUUGUCUGGGAUUGGUUAACCAUGUCAACCAUGGAUGGGGUCUGGUAAGCCUGCAUAAGGCUUGUGCUAUCCAUAGAAUCACCUCGUGCAGUUGCCCUCUGCCAUGAGUGUGAGCUCAAACCCGAUAGAACAUAAGCCCUUCCGGAUGACUCGUAUACACGGCGGUUUGCCAUCCUCUCUUGCAUUUCCCUCAUUUCAGCACCCAAGGCAACACAUAACCUGUCGCCAGCUUGUGCUGACACGGUUUCAGACAACUGUUUACGGCAAUGCUCAAGGACGGAUACUGCAGCAGUUAAAUCACCACGUUCAGCAGCAGCUCGUGCUUCUGCCAUUGCUUCUGCUGCACAGAGCCUAUUUCGCUGCCUGUCCACUUCCAUUGACACUGACAAUUGUCUAGUAGUUUCAGGCCUUUGAAUUACCACAUUCCUGGCUUCUUCCAAGGUCAUUGUUUCUUUUGUUAUAGGGUCUUUGUACUGACAAUUAACUUUUAUCAAUGACAUGUCAUUACUGUAUUUAUCAACUGGAAUGUCCAUUAUUACCAGAAAAUCUCUCUCUUCUUCAGCAUACAGAUCCCCAACUUCGAUAAAUCCUGUUCUUGCAUCAGUCAUCACACUGGUUUUAUAAUUUCCUGCUUUUAUUGAACUAAGACGCAACCUUGGAUGUACGCAGUCAACCACCACCCGUAGUUCCUGUACCACAACACUCAGAAGCCCUCCAAUGCAUUGUGCAAAAGCAUCCUGAAUCACACUCUCUGCCUCUAUAAAAGAAAAUGUCCCCCCAGAAGCUUCAGAAAUGGAAUGCAUUGCAACAGCAUCAUGAUCUGCCCCAAAACCAAAUGCGUGAACUGGAAUGUGGUGGCCAGCACCACUAUCGCGAUGCAUGGAGAAUGGGAGGAGUGACUGAUAAUCAGUUCGAGAACUAGUCCCACGAGGACUGGUCACUGUAUACGUGUCCUGCCCGUCAGACAACAGUAUAAUACUGCUCACUGGGCUCUUCCACUUGCGGUCUGUCAUCACCUUGGCACCCUUUCGGAGGCCCUCAGCAAUGUUUGUCCCACCAUUUGAGAUCAGAUUAUUAACAGCCUGUAGUGCUUCCUGCCUUCCUGUGUCAGUCAUCCUACGAAGGGGAAAAAGUCUCCGAGCUGUGGAGGAGAAGGCAAUGACUGAAAGCCUGUCAGAAGAGCCUAGGUUCUGAAUCACAAACCCCAUGGCUUGUUUUAGCAAAGCAAGCUUUGUGCCUGCCAUGCUGCCACUUAUAUCAAGCACGGUUACGAGAUCUACUGGAGCACGAGAGUUCUGAGAAAUUAAAGGCAGAUUAGCAUGGUCUUCGCCAGAAUGCUGUUUUCCACUAGUAAGGGGAGCUUUGAGAUGUAUUAGUAUGUUGAAACUAUUAUGGGAUGCUAAUCUUGAAAUGGAAGAAACCUCGGGGUAUGUUUUAACCUCAAUUGCCCCAAUAGAAUGGACAUCAGUACAAAUAUUGUCUGAUGAAUUUUUUUCAGUAACCUCAGGUUGGCAAUCCACAAGUUCGUCAUCAUCGAAGACACCUGGCUCAGGGGAGUGACGAAUAGGAGAAACACGCCGGUCUGCAUCUGCACCAGGAGGGAUCCUUUGUACAACAGUCAUCCAGGCAACAUCUUGAGGCCAAGAACCACGAUUGGUUCUUGACCUUCUAUGACUAAGAUCAGAAGAAGGAUUCUGGAAUGGAACUUCCUUCCAUUUUGCUCGGCAAACGGGGCAAAUCUGAUUUCCAUGUUUUACAUUGGAGGUGAUGCAGUGGAAGUGGAAGGAGUGUGAGCAUUCUGCGGUAAAAAUGGCAUGGCCUUGGCCUGGUUUCAUGGUGGUUAAGCAUAUUGAACAAGUCCUCUGCAACCACAAAGAAAUACAAGUCAAAAGCAGAUCACACAUGAACUGCAUUCAAGCCAACUGUUAUGGCUGAAAGAUUGAUCAACUUUAAAAUGCAUCAGCUGAUACAAUUUGCUCAAGUAUCAAUUCAAAUAUAUUUAUUUUGUCUUGUUUAAUUAUUUGGUGAUAAGCAAAUCAAAUAAACAAUGUCAAUAUAAAGAAAACAUUGAUACGAUCCCACAUAAACUGCAUCAAGACCAACUUUAUGGCUGAUAGAUUAAGCACAAACAACUAAACAAAUUGUCAAUGAUCCAACCUAUGAUUGACAGUUUAUGAACCCCCUAUGCAAUGCACACAACAUAAUAAUCAGCUCAUAUUUUUGCUGACAUUAAUAUAUUUUAAUUUUUUAAUUUUUGGGUUUUGGCAAUAAAUAAAUAAAAUAAGCAGUGCGACUAUGAAAGAGAACAUUGAUACGAUAUUAUGUUUUUCUGCAAAAAUUACCUCUAUUUUGGUAGGCUUAAGUUGAUCAUCACAAAUUUAAACAAACAAGUAGCAAUAUGACAUCUAUUUAUUUGUUUAUUUAAUUAUUACAAUAUGAAAUGAGCAUAGUGUAGACCUCAAAAUAAUUCGCAGUUAACCAUCAUUGAACGCAGAUGUCUUGAUGCUUAAAAUUAUAUGUGAGAAGCUGCAUUUAGCUUAGAAGUACUGAUAAAAUCUAUCAUUUAUGUAUUAGUACUGACUAAAUCAAUUAUAGUUACAUGCCCUCAAAUUAAAAAUUAAAAUUUCCAAAAUUGAAGGACUAUUAUAAUUAACCUUCAUAUUUUGCGAAAAAUGAAUUUUUAAGUCUUAAGAAAAAUGUAAAUCCACUCCACUUGAGCCAAAAAAUUCUUGUUACCAAGAUAAGAUUUCUUAAUGAUGAAAGACUUUAAAAGACUAAACUUUUAAGUAACAUUAGGAGUACCAGCCAUAGAUUAGCUAAGUUGCCAUAUGAUUGCUCCCACUGGAUGGCCAUCAAAUAUCAAACAUCACUGUUGUGUUAAAGAUGGACCCCUGUGUCUGCAUGAAGUCAUAUUAUUCGAUUGAGUGCCUCAACGGCCACACCCAUGUGGUGUAAGGCCCACUUGAGUGUUCAAGAAAUGGUACCACCACCUUCUCAAAGAGAAAAUGGAUACAACAACUCUGUAUUGUAUACUCUACCAUUCCACACAAAAAUCAUGGGUUAAAAAAAUUGAUUGCGGGUUUAAUUAGUUUACCAAUCAAUAAAAUCACUUAGGCAGUCCACACAAAAUAAAGAAUGAGCUUAAACUAAUGAUGAAGCAUUCAAUACAACAUACAAGAAAAUAUAAAUAAAGCACAUAUAUUAAAAGAAAUAAAAAAACAUUAGUUUCUAUAAGAUUUCUACUGUUUUUCAACUCCCUUCUUACUUUAAUGAAGCUUAUUGUAGGAAAGCUCUCAAUCAGUGGUCUACAGGCUUUUCCAAAAAUUAUCAUCAAAAGACGAGUGAGAGAUGGAAAGAGCUAGAUGGGUAUGUGUCUGUGUGAAACAGUGCAGUUGCUGACCAUACAAAGCACUUUCUUUCCAAGGAGGAGGAGAAAAAAGGGAAUGAGUACCCACAUCCUGUAGUUUUCCUUUUACUAUGGCCAAAGGCAAUAUCCUACUUGCACUUUCUCUUUCCACAAUGCCAUUGAGAGCUAGUUGAAAACUACAAAACAACAUUACCCAUCUCUCUUCCCCAGUUUUAGAGGUAUGUAUCCAUCUGCAUAUCUACACCCCAACAUCACGUCUACCAAUAAACUUAUAACCAAACAAAUAAAAAACCAAUUAUAUCCUUAUUUAUAUUGAAUAUGUACACAGUACACAUGUUAACUAAAGAAAAAGCGAAUUAUUAGUUGACUUAUUUCCAGAAGGAAAUUAGAUCUUUCAAAAAUGUACUCUUUCAAAUAAUUGAGUUUGUUUGUUUGUGUCUACCCUUGCCCAAUCAAUAAACUUCCUUGUAAAAUAUCACUUCACAAGAAAAAUCUAACCAACACAAUCACACGGUUUAAGCUUAAAAUCUGACAAACAAACAAAUCACAUAUAUACUCUUCCUUGUACAGAAUCUAUCAAUUGAAGAUUCAAAGUACACAAGUCAAAAAAACAGUGGAAUAACUUCUCCUAAAAUGACAUUUGAAAAAAUAAAAUGAGAUUAAUAUUUGCAAGAAUUACACAGCAAUUAACACAUACAAACCGGCAAGGACGCGACUCUGGUGAACCAGUUAUUGUAAAAUCAAUUUCUAUAUAUAGAGAGAGAUAAAUUAUGUAUGCAAAAUACAAACCUUGGAUGAUUUAGAACCGUAUUUGGGCAAACGGAGGCCGGAAGAAGACGGAGUGGGAGUCGUCGGCAUUUGAACCUGCUGAGAACCAGAACUCCUUCCCUCCGCCGGAGAAACCGACGGAGAAAGAAGGGAGGCAUGAGAAAACCUGCCGCCGGACGGCGAAGAGUCAUCUGGAGUUUUCGGAAUGUAAAGGCACGAAUUCAGCCCUAGCGCCAGCUUAGCUUUCCUCCAUUUGCUUCCCAUUUAGCUCGAACCUCCCGAUCUGAUUUUUUCUAGAGAGAGAAAAAAUUACAGAUACAAAUAUACAUAUAGCGCAUAUACAUAUCCAUAAUAUAUAUAAACAAAAAAAUCUUUGCUUAUAAAACAAAUAAUAAAUUCAGAUCUUCAAAUGCUUAGGGAGCAACAUUCUACAAGAACAGAUCUCCAAAUGCUUGUUCUUUGAACUGGUAAACUCUUUUGAACACGAUAACCAAUAGCUUUGGACCGAAUAUAUAGAGAGAGACACAUAUAUAAUAAAUAUAGAUAUAGUGAGAGACAAUCUAGAGAGAAAAAAUCUAGAGAUAUGAAAGGUUUUACGAGGCUGCGAAAGGAGAAGAAGAUAAAGAGAAUGUUAGGAGGAGAGAGAAAGAGAGGGGGUAAAAAUGGAAAAGAAGGUUUUGACCUUGUGGGGUUAGGGUGUUCAUCGGUAAAAAAUUGGAUUCAUCGGCUCGAACCGUAACAUACCGAAUACUCAUAGUAAUUAAUUUCAUAUACAGAUACAGGUUUGGUAUUAGUUUUUACCGAAAAAUUAAUAUAAUUAUUAUUAUUAUUUAUUAUUAUUAUUAUUUUAUUAAUAUUAUAAUCAUUAUUAUUAUUAUUAAAUUAUUAAUAAAAAAAAUUAGAAAAUCUGUAUAUAUCGAUCCGGUUCGGUAAAACUGAACCAUAAAAAUGUCGGACCAAAACCGGUACCGAAAAAUUGAUAUAUAUCGAGUUUUUUGUACCGAACCGGAUCGUUUUUUUAUACCGAAUCGACCGGUUCGGUCCGGUCUAAAAAACUGAAAAAACGAAAGAAAAAAAAAACGAUAAAUUUGAACACCCCUAGGUUAGGACCGGUUUAGGAAACCUCUUAAAUAACCUACUUUCUAUAUUGUUUUAUUAAAAUUAUGUGGUUUUGAAGAUUGAUUCUUUCAAAAAAUAAGUUAGGUCACAAGUGAUAUUUUUAUAAAUAAAAGGAAAAUAAGUAGAACACCUCUUUUUUAAUACUCCCUUCUAUUCAGAUUAAAUGACGUUUUAGAGUUAAGCACACUUAUUAAGAAAUAAUAUAAAAUGUCUUUUAUAUCCCUAAUUAAUUAUUUAUUUCUCCACAAUGAUAAAAAAUGAAGGCAAUUAAUGGGUUAUUGGAACUUUGGUUGUAGGUAAAAAGGUUUAUAGAAUUGUAUUUACUAAGCAUAUUAAAUUGAGGGGUAAAUUAGAAAAAAAUAGUGCAAUAUUGUAUAGAAAUUUCAAAACGACACUUAUAUAAAAUAAAAUCAAACUCCCUAAAACGUCAUUUAAUUUGAAUAAAAAAGAGUAUUAUUUUAUUUUUUAAAAGAAUCCUCAAAACGAUAUAGUUAUGUUUUA